UUUCCGUAGGUGAACCUGCGGAAGGAUCAUUCAUAAUAAGUGUUUUAUGGCACUUUUUUAAAUCCAUAUCCACCUUGUGUGCAAUGUCAGGGUUGAUUUUUCUCUCGAGAGGAUCAACCCCAAACAUCAACUAUAUCUCAACUCUUUGUCUGUAAAAUAUUAUGAAUAAAACAAUUCAAAAUACAACUUUCAACAACGGAUCUCUUGGCUCUC
rnacentral:misc_RNA from 1 species